AGUGGAAUUGCUGGGUCAUAUGGCAGCUCUGCCUCUAAUUUUUUUUUUUUGAGAAACCACCAGACUGUUUUCCACAGCAGCUGUACCAUUUUGAAUUCCCACCAGCAAU
rnacentral:pre_miRNA from 1 species